UUACCAUGCAGGGAAUCGAACCCAGGCUUUCUGGGUAAAAGCCAGAUAUCCUAGCCACUAGGCCACGUGGGA